UUUUCCCCUAGAGGCAUUGCAGGCGUGGCUGCUGUGUCACAUGUGCAUCAAGGGGUGGCAGAGGGGAGAGAGGCUAUGUCUACACUCAGUGUUCUGACAUGUGAACAUCUGGAUGAUUAGAAGCCUAACACU